UAGGGAAUCUUCGGCAAUGGACGAAAGUCUGACCGAGCAACGCCGCGUGAGUGAAGAAGGUUUUCGGAUCGUAAAGCUCUGUUGUAAGAGAAGAACGAGUGUGAGAGUGGAAAGUUCACACUGUGACGGUAUCUUACCAGAAAGGGACGGCUAACUACGUGCCAGCAGCCGCGGUAAUACGUAGGUCCCGAGCGUUGUCCGGAUUUAUUGGGCGUAAAGCGAGCGCAGGCGGUUAGAUAAGUCUGAAGUUAAAGGCUGUGGCUUAACCAUAGUACGCUUUGGAAACUGUUUAACUUGAGUGCAAGAGGGGAGAGUGGAAUUCCAUGUGUAGCGGUGAAAUGCGUAGAUAUAUGGAGGAACACCGGUGGCGAAAGCGGCUCUCUGGCUUGUAACUGACGCUGAGGCUCGAAAGCGUGGGGAGCAAACAGGAUUAGAUACCCUGGUAGUCCACGCCGUAAACGAUGAGUGCUAGGUGUUAGACCCUUUCCGGGGUUUAGUGCCGCAGCUAACGCAUUAAGCACUCCGCCUGGGGAGUACGACCGCAAGGUU
rnacentral:rRNA from 1 species